UCCUGGGGUUGUCUGCUUGUCGUUCUGGUGGCUCCUUUGCUUCUGCCAACCUACAUUCAAAGCUUUCCUGAGAGAAAACAUCUCCUUCCAAAGUGCAUUCUUGUCCCUCGGCGGCCCUGAAUUUCCCUGGUAGGAUGAAUACCAUGUUAACUCCCAGAUCAUCUUGUAGCAGGUCUUCCAACUCUGCACCAAAAGCUCCUGUUUCUGCGUCCAAUUCUUC
rnacentral:lncRNA from 1 species